rnacentral:rRNA from 1 species
UACAGAGGGGGCAAGCGUUGUUCGGAAUUACUGGGCGUAAAGGGCGCGUAGGCGGCCUGUUAAGUCGGACGUGAAAUCCCCGGGCUCAACCCGGGAACUGCGUCCGAUACUGGCAGGCUUGAAUCCGGGAGAGGGAUGUGGAAUUCCAGGUGUAGCGGUGAAAUGCGUAGAGAUCCGGAGGAACACCGACGGCGAAGGCAGCGCCCUGGACGAGACCUGACGCUCAGGCACGAAAGCUGGGGGAGCAAACAGG